UACGUAGGGUGCAAGCGUUGUCCGGAAUUAUUGGGCGUAAAGAGCUCGUAGGCGGUUUGUCGCGUCGGCUGUGAAACCUUGGGGCUCAACCCCAAGCCUGCAGUCGAUACGGGCAGACUAGAGUGCGGUAGGGGAGACUGGAAUUCCUGGUGUAGCGGUGAAAUGCGCAGAUAUCAGGAGGAACACCGGUGGCGAAGGCGGGUCUCUGGGCCGUAACUGACGCUGAGGAGCGAAAGCGUGGGGAUCAAACAGG
rnacentral:rRNA from 1 species